UACGAAGGGGGCUAGCGUUGUUCGGAAUUACUGGGCGUAAAGGGCGCGUAGGCGGCGUGUCAAGUCAGGCGUGAAAGCCCCAGGCUCAACUUGGGAACUGCGUCUGAAACUACGGAGCUGGAGUGUGGCAGAGGGGAGGUAGAAUUCCACGUGUAGCGGUGAAAUUCGUAGAUAUUAGGAAGAACACCAGUGGCGAAGGCGACAUCCUGGACCGGUAUUGACGCUGAGGCGCGAAAGCCAGGGGAGCAAACAGG
rnacentral:rRNA from 1 species